GUACUCAUAGAUUAUAUUUAAAUCGUAAGGCUGUUAACUUUAAGAAACAUAUUAAACUUGUUGUGUACG
rnacentral:tRNA from 1 species